UACAGAGGCCUCGAGCGUUGUUCGGAAUUACUGGGCGUAAAGGGAAUGUAGGCGGUAGCGUAAGUCAGAUGUGAAAGCCCUGGGCUUAACCCGGGAAGUGCAUUUGAUACUGCGUUGCUAGAGUGCGAGAGAGGAAAGUGGAAUUCCCAGUGUAGGGGUGAAAUCCGUAGAUAUUGGGAGGAAUACCGAUGGCGAAAGCAGCUUUCUGGCUCGUAACUGACGCUGAGAUUCGAAAGCGUGGGUAGCAAACAGG
rnacentral:rRNA from 1 species